CACCAUGUGGUGGAUAUCCUGGUGGCGGUGCCGGUGGGUAUCCAGCUGGAGAAGGAUACCCAGAGGGAGGAUAUCCACCAGGAGGAGGAUACCCAGAUGGUGGAUAUCCGCCAGGAGGAGGAUAACCUGCAGGAGGAUAUGCACCUUGAGGAGGAGGAUAAGGGUAUGCCCCAUGUGGCCGUGGAUAGUGUCCAGCAGCAUAUCCAGCAAGAUGUGAAAAUAACCCUUUGUC
rnacentral:lncRNA from 1 species